rnacentral:rRNA from 1 species
CCUACGGGAGGCAGCAGUGAGGAAUAUUGGUCAAUGGACGCAAGUCUGAACCAGCCAUGCCGCGUGCAGGAAGACGGCUCUAUGAGUUGUAAACUGCUUUUGUACGAGGGUAAACGCAGAUACGCGUAUCUGUCUGAAAGUAUCGUACGAAUAAGGAUCGGCUAACUCCGUGCCAGCAGCCGCGGUAAUACGGAGGAUUCAAGCGUUAGCCGGAUUUAUUGGGUUUUAAGGGUGCGUAGGCGGUCGGAUAAGUUAGAGGUGAAAUCCCGAGGCUCAACCCCAUCCAGCCGUUGACACUGGGGAUCUAGAGUGUGCGAGAGGUAUGCGGAAUGCGUGGUGUAGCGGUGAAAUGCAUAGAUAUCACGCAGAACCCCGAUUGCGAAGGCAGCAUACCGGUGCACAACUGACGCUCAGGCACGAAAGCGUGGGUAUCGAACAGGAUUAGAUACCCCUGUAGUC